CACACAAGUAUUCUGUGUUAAUGCAUUCCUAAAACAAAUAAUAAGUACAAUAUUUUACUAUGCCUACAAUUAAUAAUGUAGAUAGAAACUUCUUGUUCAACAUUACAUUCAAACUACCAAUCAAAUCAUGCUCUCACACAUUCAUACAUUUAGACACUUCAUAUUGAUAAAUUAAAAGGUACAUUGGCUACUUGAUAUAAAAUAGUAAUAUUUACAACAGUUUAUAUUAUUUAUAACAUAUUUAAUGGAUAGUUGAGAUUCUAUUUAGGUUAAUAUAAAGUAAAUGUCUAACCUGAGCUGUGCUGAGUUGCUUGUCCUGUGCAGAGCUGUUAGCAGUGUGACUAAAAAGUGUGCAAGUGCUAAGGAGGAAAGCUGUAGUUACAUAAUAUUAAUCAAAUUGGAAGCUGAGGGCUAUU